rnacentral:rRNA from 1 species
UCGAGCGGUAACAGGACUAGCUUGCUAGUUGCUGACGAGCGGCGGACGGGUGAGUAACGCGUAGGAAUCUGCCCGGUAGUUGGGGAUAGCCCGGAGAAAUCCGGAUUAAUACCGAAUAAUCUCUGCGGAGGAAAGGGGGCUUCGGCUCUCGCUACUGGAUGAGCCUGCGUGAGAUUAGCUAGUUGGUGGGGUAAAGGCCUACCAAGGCGACGAUCUCUAGCUGGUCUGAGAGGAUGAUCAGCCACACUGGGACUGAGACACGGCCCAGACUCCUACGGGAGGCAGCAGUGGGGAAUAUUGGACAAUGGGGGCAACCCUGAUCCAGCCAUGCCGCGUGUGUGAAGAAGGCUUUCGGGUUGUAAAGCACUUUCAGACAGGAGGAAGGGUUGAUGGUUAAUACCCAUCAACAUUGACGUUACUGUCAGAAGAAGCACCGGCUAACUCCGUGCCAGCAGCCGCGGUAAUACGGAGGGUGCGAGCGUUAAUCGGAAUUACUGGGCGUAAAGCGCGCGUAGGCGGCAAGUUAAGUUGGAUGUGAAAGCCCCGGGCUCAACCUGGGAACGGCAUUCAAAACUGGCUCGCUUGAGUACGGCAGAGGAGUGUGGAAUUUCCGGUGUAGCGGUGAAAUGCGUAGAGAUCGGAAGGAACACCAGUGGCGAAGGCGACACUCUUGGGC